AUCGCUUCUCGGCCUUUUGGCUAAGAUCAAGUGUAGUAUCUGUUCUUAUCAGUUUAAAACUUAACAUUUGAACAAUUUUCUCUUAAGUUUUGAGAAACUUUC
ensembl:snRNA U2 U2 spliceosomal RNA